UACGGAGGGGGCUAGCGUUGUUCGGAAUUACUGGGCGUAAAGCGCGCGUAGGCGGAUCUGCAAGUCGGGGGUGAAAUCCCGAGGCUCAACCUCGGAACUGCCUUCGAUACUGCGGGUCUCGAGUCCGGGAGAGGUGAGUGGAACUGCGAGUGUAGAGGUGAAAUUCGUAGAUAUUCGCAAGAACACCAGUGGCGAAGGCGGCUCACUGGCCCGGUACUGACGCUGAGGCACGAAAGCGUGGGGAGCAAACAGG
rnacentral:rRNA from 1 species